GACAGAGGGUGCAAACGUUGUUCGGAAUUACUGGGCGUAAAGCGUGUGUAGGCGGCCUGGCAAGUGGAAGGUGAAAUCCCUCGGCUUAACCGAGGAACUGCCCUCCAAACUGCUUGGCUUGAGUCCGGGAGAGGUGAGUGGAAUUCCCAGUGUAGCGGUGAAAUGCGUAGAUAUUGGGAGGAACACCAGUGGCGAAGGCGGCUCACUGGACCGGAACUGACGCUGAGGCGCGAAAGCGUGGGGAGCAAACAGG
rnacentral:rRNA from 1 species